CCCCUAUUGUAGAUGAAUCUGCAGUGGAUAUCAUAUUGUAUAUCUGAAGAGGUAGUAAAGAAGUGGUAUAAACUACUAGUGAUAACAACCAGACUACCCCCCUAUUGUAGAUGAAUCUGCAGUGGAUAUCAUAUUGUAUAUCUGAAGAGGUAGUAAAGAAGUGGUAUAAACUACUAGUGAUAACAACCAGACUACCCCCCUAUUGUAGAUGAAUCUGCAGUGGAUAUCAUAUUGUAUAUCUGAAGAGGUAGUAAAGAAGUGGUAUAAACUACUAGUGAUAACAACCAGACUACCCCACCGGCCCUAUUGUAGAUGAAUCUGCAGUGGAUAUUUAUGUUCUUGAUUCUCAAAUAUUGUAAUUUUUAUUACAAUUUUUCAUGUUCUUUGAACUUGUGGCAGGGACUGAUUAAAUUAUUUUAGUUAAAUAAACAUUAUAUAUGACGAGGAGGUACGUUUUAUGUUCGAGUUGGAGGUGUACAUGUUGGUCGGCAAUAAAAUUAGAAGGGUUAGUCUGGCAAUGAGAAACACAAAAAAUAAAUGCUUCCCUUAUGAAGUUACCAGGGAGAAAAUGGUGCUUGU